UUAAGUGACUAAGCGUACAAGGUGGAUGCCUUGGCAAUCAGAGGCGACGAAGGACGUGCUAAUCUGCGAAAAGCUUGGAUGAGUCGAUAAGAGGCGUUUAAUCCAAGAUGUCCGAAUGGGGAAACCCAGUAGAUGAAGAAUCUACUAUCACUUACUGAAUACAUAGGUAAGUGAGGCAAACCGGGAGAACUGAAACAUCUAAGUACCCCGAGGAAAAGAAAUCAACCGAGAUUUCGUUAGUAGCGGCGAGCGAACGCGAAGGAGCCUGUUAGUGAUAAUGACAGAGACAGAGGAACAAGCUGGGAAGCUUGGCGAUACAGGGUGAUAGCCCCGUACUCGAAGUCCAGGUCAUGGUACUAAGCUAACGAUAAGUAGGGCGGGACACGUGAUAUCCUGUUUGAAGAUGGGGGGACCAUCCUCCAAGGCUAAAUACUCCUGAUUGACCGAUAGUGAACCAGUACUGUGAAGGAAAGGCGAAAAGAACCCCGGUGAGGGGAGUGAAAUAGAACCUGAAACCUUGUACGUACAAGCAGUGGGAGCCCUUUAAGGGUGACUGCGUACCUUUUGUAUAAUGGGUCAGCGACUUAUAUUUUGUAGCGAGGUUAACCGAAUAGGGGAGCCGAAGGGAAACCGAGUCUUAACUGGGCGUCUAGUUGCAAGGUAUAGACCCGAAACCCGGUGAUCUAGCCAUGGGCAGGUUGAAGGUUGGGUAACACUAACUGGAGGACCGAACCGACUAAUGUUGAAAAAUUAGCGGAUGACUUGUGGCUGGGGGUGAAAGGCCAAUCAAACCGGGAGAUAGCUGGUUCUCCCCGAAAUCUAUUUAGGUAGAGCCUUGAGCGGACACCUUCGGGGGUAGAGCACUGUUUCGGCUAGGGGUCCAUCCCGGAUUACCAACCCGAUGCAAACUACGAAUACCGAAGAGUGAUACUCAGGAGACACACGGCGGGUGCUAACGUCCGUCGUGGAGAGGGAAACAACCCAGACCGCCAGCUAAGGUCCCAAAGUCUAUAUUAAGUGGGAAACGAAGUGGGAAGGCUUAGACAGCUAGGAUGUUGGCUUAGAAGCAGCCAUCAUUUAAAGAAAGCGUAAUAGCUCACUAGUCGAGUCGGCCUGCGCGGAAGAUGUAACGGGGCUCAAAUAUAGCACCGAAGCUGCGGCAUCAGACGAAAGUCUGUUGGGUAGGGGAGCGUUCUGUAAGCGGAUGAAGGUGAAUCGAGAGGUUUGCUGGACGUAUCAGAAGUGCGAAUGCUGACAUAAGUAACGAUAAAACGGGUGAAAAACCCGUUCGCCGGAAGACCAAGGGUUCCUGUCCAACGUUAAUCGGGGCAGGGUGAGUCGGCCCCUAAGGCGAGGCUGAAAAGCGUAGUCGAUGGGAAACGGGUUAAUAUUCCCGUACUUGGAUAAACUGCGAUGUGGGGACGGAGCAGGUUAGGUUAUCGCACUGUUGGAUAUGUGCGUUUAAGUUUGUAGGUGGGAAGUUUAGGCAAAUCCGGACUUCUUUAACACUGAGAGAUGAUGACGAGGCUCUACGGAGCUGAAGUAACCGAUACCACACUUCCAGGAAAAGCCACUAAGCUUCAGGUUUAUCUAAACCGUACUGAAAACCGACACAGGUGGUCAGGUAGAGAAUACUCAGGCGCUUGAGAGAACUCGGGUGAAGGAACUAGGCAAAAUAGCACCGUAACUUCGGGAGAAGGUGCGCCGGCGUAGAUUGUAGUCCCUAGCGGGCGAAGGUUGAACCGGUCGAAGAUACCAGCUGGCUGCAACUGUUUAUUAAAAACACAGCACUCUGCAAACACGAAAGUGGACGUAUAGGGUGUGAUGCCUGCCCGGUGCUGGAAGGUUAAUUGAUGGUGUAAUCGAAAGAGAAGCUCCUGAUCGAAGCCCCAGUAAACGGCGGCCGUAACUAUAACGGUCCUAAGGUAGCGAAAUUCCUUGUCGGGUAAGUUCCGAC
rnacentral:rRNA from 1 species